UGGGGAAUAUUGCACAAUGGGGGAAACCCUGAUGCAGCGACGCCGCGUGAGCGAUGAAGUAUUUCGGUAUGUAAAGCUCUAUCAGCAGGGAAGAAAAUGACGGUACCUGACUAAGAAGCCCCGGCUAACUACGUGCCAGCAGCCGCGGUAAUACGUAGGGGGCAAGCGUUAUCCGGAUUUACUGGGUGUAAAGGGAGCGUAGACGGAUCUGCAAGUCUGGAGUGAAAGCCCGGGGCUCAACCCCGGGACUGCUUUGGAAACUGUGGAUCUAGAGUGCCGGAGAGGUAAGCGGAAUUCCUAGUGUAGCGGUGAAAUGCGUAGAUAUCGGGAAGAACACCGGUGGCGAAGGCGGCCUUCUGGGCCAUCACUGACGCUGAGGCGCGAAAGCUAGGGGGGCAAACAGGAUUAGAUACCC
rnacentral:rRNA from 1 species